AUGUGCAGCCACAAAAGGUGUAGAGUGGAGGAACAGCACCAAGAUCAAGGAACAGCAACAAGGCCUGAAGAAGAUGCCAUUGGCUCAGUUAAAGAUGCUCAAAUCAAGACAUGUCCUCCACAUACUGGAUUUAUUGGUGGACUUUGCUUUACAUGCGGGAAAAACCAAGACGAAGAAGAUUUUACAGGAGUCCCUUUUGGUUACAUCUCUGAGGGUUUGAGGCUAAGUACUUUAGAAAUGGACAGGCUAAGUGGAUCUGAAGUGAAGAAUCUGUUGCGUGAAAGAAAACUGGUGCUUAUUUUAGAUUUGGAUCAUACAUUGAUUAACUCAACCAGCCUCCAUGAUAUUUCUGCUGCUGAGAUGGACCUGGGAAUUCAAUAUGCUGCAUCAAAAAAUGAUCCAAACAUAAGUUUGUUCACCUUACAAGGGAUGCAUAUGCUUACAAAGUUGAGACCCUUUGUCCGUAAAUUUUUGGAAGAAGCAAGCAAUAUGUUUAGGAUGUAUAUCUACACCAUGGGUGACAAGGCUUAUGCAAUCGAAAUAGCAAAGCUUCUUGACCCUGGCAAUGUCUAUUUUGAUUCAAAAGUGAUCUCUAACUCUGACUGCACUCAGCAGCACCAGAAAGGUCUUGAUGUGGUUCUUGGAGCUGACAGUCUUGCAGUGAUUCUUGAUGACACAAAGAAGGUCUGGCAGAAGCAUAAAGAAAACCUGAUUUUGAUGGAACGAUAUCAUUAUUUCGCUGCGAGCUGUCGCCAUAGCGGCCAAUCUUUGUCAGAGUUGAUGCAGGAUGAAAGGGAGAGCGAUGGUGCUCUAGCUACAAUUUUGGAUGUCCUGAAGCGCAUACACACGAUUUUCUUUGACUUGGGUGUUGAAACUGCUCUUUCUUCUCGAGACGUAAGACCGGUAAUCAAGAGGGUGCGGCAGGAAGUACUGCAGGGCUGCAAGCUGGUCUUCAGUCGAGUGUUCCCGUCCGAUUGCCGGCCGCAGCAUCAGAUAAUGUGGAAGAUGGCCGAGCAGCUGGGCGCCGUUUGCUGCUCGGAGGUGGAUCCCAGCGUUACGCAUGUGGUCGCCGUGCAUGCCGGAACGGAGAAGGCCCGCUGGGCUGUUAAACACAAGACAUUUUUGCUCCACCCCCGCUGGAUCGAGGCCUGCAAUUAUGGUUGGCACCGCCAGCCGGAGGAAGAUUUCCCUGUACCUGGCCUCAAGGAGGACAAGGGCAAGGAAAAAGUUGCAGAGAAUGUCCACCUGUAA
rnacentral:rRNA from 1 species